UACGGAGGGUGCAAGCGUUAUUCGGAAUUACUGGGCGUAAAGGGCGCGUAGGCGGAUUUUUAAGUCUGUUGUGAAAGAUCAGGGCUCAACCCUGAGAGUGCAUCGGAAACUGGAGAUCUUGAGGACAGGAGAGGAAAGUGGAAUUCCACGUGUAGCGGUGAAAUGCGUAGAUAUGUGGAGGAACACCAGUGGCGAAGGCGACUUUCUGGACUGUAACUGACGCUGAGGCGCGAAAGCGUGGGGAGCAAACAGG
rnacentral:rRNA from 1 species